rnacentral:rRNA from 1 species
CGCGUAGACGGUUUUGUAAGUCAGAUGUGAAAUCCCUGGGCUCAACCUGGGAACUGCAUUUGAUACUGCAUGGCUAGAGUAUGGAAGAGGGAAGUGGAAUUUCCGGUGUAGCGGUGAAAUGCGUAGAUAUCGGAAGGAACACCAGUGGCGAAAGCGACUUCCUGGUCCAAUACUGACGUUCAUGUGCGAAAGCGUGGGGAGCAAACAGGAUUAGAUACCCUGGUAGUCCACGCCAUAAACGAUGACAACUAGAUGUUGGGAGGGUCUGCCUCUCGGUGUCGCAGCUAACGCGUUAAGUUGUCCGCCUGGGGAUACGGCCGCAAGGUUGAA